rnacentral:rRNA from 1 species
CAGCCCUAAACGAUGCGCGUUAGGUGUAUCGGUGACCACGAGUCACCGAGGUGCCGAAGGGAAACCGUGAAACGUGCCGCCUGGGAAGUACGGUCGCAAGGCUGAAACUUAAAGGAAUUGGCGGGGGAGCACCACAACGGGUGGAGCUUGCGGUUUAAUUGGACUCAACGCCGGGAAGCUCACCGGAUAAGACAGCGGAAUGAUUGCCGGGCUGAAGACCCUGCAUGACCAGCUGAGAGGAGGUGCAUGGCGUAGACGUCU